rnacentral:pre_miRNA from 1 species
AGGAGGGCCCUUUAUGACCCUUGAGAAAUCCAUUCAAUGUCAUGGAGUUGCUCUCUAU